GCGAGGGUGGCGGAGAUGGAAGACGCGCUGGACUUAGGAUCCAGUGGGGAAACCCGUGAGGGUUCAAAUCCCUCCCCUCGCA
rnacentral:tRNA from 1 species